rnacentral:rRNA from 1 species
AUUAAAGCGGUACGUGAGCUGGGUUCAGAACGUCGCGAGACAGUUCGGUCCCUAUCUGAUGUGGGCGCAGGAGAUUUGAGGAGGGCUGUCCUUAGUACGAGAGGACCGGGAUGGACGAACCUCUAGUGUACCAGUUGUCUCGCCAGAGGCAGUCGCUGGGUAGCUACGUUCGGUCGGGAUAAACGCUGAAUGCAUCUAAGCGUGAAGCCCACUCCAAGAUGAGAUCUCCCAACCGCAAGGUAAGAAGACCCGUAGUAGACCACUACGUUGAUAGGCUGGGUGUGUAAGGUCAGUAAUGGCUUCAGCUAACCAGUACUAAUCGGUCGUUCGGCUUGACCAU